rnacentral:rRNA from 1 species
UGGGGAAUCUUGCACAAUGGGCGAAAGCCUGAUGCAGCGACGCCGCGUGGGGGAUGAAGGCCUUAGGGUCGUAAACCCCUUUCAGCAGGGACGAAAAUGACGGUACCUGCAGAAGAAGCCCCGGCCAACUACGUGCCAGCAGCCGCGGUAAGACGUAGGGGGCGAGCGUUGUCCGGAUUUAUUGGGCGUAAAGAGCUCGUAGGCGGUUGCGUAAGUCGGAUGUGAAAACUCAGGGCUCAACCCUGAGACGCCAUCCGAUACUGCGCUGACUUGAAUCCAGUAGGGGAGUGUGGAAUUCCUGGUGUAGCGGUGAAAUGCGCAGAUAUCAGGAGGAACACCCAUGGCGAAGGCAGCACUCUGGGCUGGUAUUGACGCUGAGGAGCGAAAGCAUGGGUAGCGAACAGGAUUAGAUACCCUGUAGUCCCUGAGCGGGCUGGCAAGGCGCAU